AAACUGAAUGUGUAUGCAUUCAUUGUAUACUAAGAAUUAGGAAGAUCCAUCUGUUUGGGAGGGGAGGCGUGAGGGUGUUAAGGCAGAAUUUGUUAUUUUUAUUUCUAAUUCCCCCAUUAUGAGCAUUCAUUACUCUUCUAUGUAGAAAGAAGAGGCAAGAAGUCCUCAGUUGUCCAAAGCUGUUAAGGGUGCAAAGGACCUUCCUUCUGUGGGAUCUUGAACAGCGCAGGCACUGGCCCUGGGCACGGCGUGGGGCGUGGGAUGAGGGGCUGUGCACCGCCCUCUUUGCUCACCCCACAGAAGUUAAAAAAGAACAAUCUGAGACCGAAGGAGGAGGAAUCAAAUCGAGGGAGGGGUGCUCUCUUACGAGGUGCGCUCAUCCUGGAUCCCAGGGUAGGGAGCAAUUGGGAACACAAGGCGAUGCCUGCAGUGUCAGGAGACCAAAGAUGACCCCGAAGCUCCCCUGUCACUCUCCAGAUCCUGUGGAACAAUCAAUCCAUCAAGAAGGCUCUGGCGGCAGGACCAGAGAACUCUGUUGGCAUUUGUGGACACGGGUGGCUGCAAAAUAGAUUUAAACUGUGCCUAGCGGACUCAGCGACCACCCAGAGUGGAAAGGGUGGAGGCAACCAGGAAGGUGAUGCAAGUGAGAACUUAGGGCCAUGUCAGCUCGUGAAUCUCCAUUUGCUGUUUACUGUGCUGUUAUAAAUGGGGCUAUAAUCCAGCCUGAAUGAAGGUCAGUUAAAUACAGAAAACAUCCAGCUGCCCUCCAAGGGCUUCCCAAGUGUAUCCUGCAUGCACUCAGACCUGCAACCAUGGAAGUGGUGGUAGUUACAACUUCUGGCUGAACCUGAGAAGCAUCCAGUCUGCACCUAGGAGGACUGCCCAGUCUGGGCCCAUUGGUCAGCUCAUCUUCCUCAACUUCAUUAGCUGCAAGUUGUACUGGAGUGACAUACCAUUGCUGGUUAACACCCCAGGUCUGGCUAUGACCCCAUACUGACAGUUAAGUCUGGAGUUGGGAAAACCUUUACUGAAGGUGCAUUCAUGGGUAUGGUAGUUAGAAUAUGUUUGGCCCAGGGAGUGCCACUAUUAAGAGGUGUAACUUUGUUGGAAUAGGUGUGGCCUUGUUGGAGGAAGUGUGUCACUGUUCAGGGUGGACAAUGAGACCCUCCUCCUAACCAUGUGGGAGCCAAUCUUCUCCUAGUGGCCUUUAGAUGAAGAUGUAGAACUCUCAGCUCUGCCUGCACCAUGCCUGCCUGGGCACUGCCACGCCCCCACCUUGAUGAUAAUGGACUGAACCUGUAAGCCAUCCCUAAUGAAAUGUCCUUAUAAGAGUUGCCUCGGUCAUGGUGUCUGUUCACAGCAGUAAAACCCUAACUAAGAUUAUGUGGACCCCACCACCACCACCACCACUCACACACACACACAAAGUCUUCUCUCAGCCAGAGCCAACUGACUUUGUGAAGUGGAGCUGAGCUUUGGGUUAGUCAGCCUGGCAAAUGAAGGUUAAUGGUUAUGAAAUAGUCCAGGGGAGAAAGUCACAGAUCACCACUCUUGCUAAAACAGUUAAGGGUACAGCAAGUCCUUUAAUUAGCUGGUGAUGAAGAGUGAGUGGGCUAGUGCCUCGGAUGGGCUCUUGGUAUGGAAGCACUGCAGGACAGGGGCUUUAAGUCAAAAGGCAGAAAUCACAUCAUUUCAGGUGCAAGGUGAGCAGGUUUUACUUUCAGGGUAGGGUGGGCUGUUGGUUUGGUUGCUUGUUUUGUUUUUGGUUUUUGUUUUGUUUUGGUUUUUGGUUUUUCAAAACAGGGUUUCUCAGUAUAGCCCUGGCUGUCCUGGAACUCACUUUGUAGACCAGGCUGGCCUCGAACUCAGAAAUCUGCCUGCCUCUGCCUCCCUAGUGCUGGGAUUAAAGGCGUACGCCACCACGCCAGGCUUUUUGUUGUUGUUGUUUUGUUUUGUUUAUUUGGUUUUUGGGGGUUUUUUUUGGGUUUUUGGUUUUUUUUUUUUGGUUUUUUGUUUGUUUGUUUGUUUGUUUGUUUUUACACUAUACUGUUUCACAGAAGGGAAGGAGCAACCUUUUAAUCAUAUAAGGUUGUUUUUCUCAAGGAACCUUUUGUAUACAUCCAAAAUACUUUCCCACUAGGGAAAGAGGAAUUUUUUUCUUUUUUCCCCUCUUCUCCUCCUCCUCCUCCUGUUCUUUUCUUUUUCAGAAGACAAAUUAUUGUUUACAAGUGAGAUGAGGGUCCAGAAGGGAGAAGUGUAGUGUGGGUGUAACCUAACUUUUAGGCCAUUUUAGUUAAAAUACUUUUCAUAGCCAGAAGACGACACAGUGGGUAAAGGCAUUUGCCACCAAGCCUGGUAUCCUGAGUUCAGUCCCAAGAAACCAAACGAUGGAAGGAAUACUGACUCCCCGACAUUGUCCUCUCACCUCUGGGUGCAGGGCGGUACAUGCACUUACAUACAAAGACAAGAUAAGCAAGGAAGUACAAUAAAAUAUUUUAAAGAUGUGCUUAUUUUAUAUGUAUGAGUGCAUGUAUUUAUGUGGACCAUGUACAUGCAGAGGCCAGACAGGGAGUCAGAUCCCUCAGGGCAGAUUAAAAAAUUUAAAUAAAUACCUUUACAGAAAAGAUAACUGAAGUGGGAAUUUCUGGUUUCACUGGAGACUCAGUUGUGUCAUGUAAUGUUUUUUCUGGAAGCUGUCUUAUGAGAGGAUGUUUUGCUGAGAACAGACAUGUGUUAUUUUUCUGGAAGCUGUCCAGUGAAAGGACAUGUGAUGUUUCGCUGGAGCAUACACUUGAGAGAAUAAGUAUAACCCAGCAGACAGUGGACGAGGCUCUAGCUUUGGUUCGCCUUGCUGGUCUUUGUUGGGCUUUGCUGAUGCUGGUCUUUACUCUUGCAUUGUCUUGCUUUGCUUUCUCCUCUGAUCUUCACUUGUGAGUUCUUAAAAAUGGAAAUCCUGGUGGUGCUCCUGCUGCUUCUUGCCACUGCAGGAGAAUCAUGCUGAUAGGUGGAGGCUCAGGUAUUGUCUGGAUGCAGCUACUGCUGCUGGUUUGUGUUUGGUGUUUUGCUAGUGGAGUGGACUGCUGACAAUGAAGAUUGGAACUCCGGAACAGGCCCACAUCCUCCUUGUCCUGUUAGCCAUUUCCCUCCCCUACCUUUGGUCAUUGGGCUGUAAGGGAGGUUGAAGUGUUUAAGAUUCUUAAAGUAGGUUUUGAAAAAUCUAAGCCUACAGAAAACAAUGAGAAUUAGUGGUGAAUGUUGGUAAGCCCAGCCUGUGAAGACA